ensembl:lncRNA
AAAGACCCAAGCCAUCCCCUUGCUUCUAGCUUCUUGCCUCUCCCUCACUCUUGUGAGCAUGCGACAGAAGUGGAAAUGCAGCAGUGAGGAGGCAAAGCAGCAGUACACUCAGACUGGAUCUAUUCCAGGGAAUAAUAAUAGUGACUGAGUUUCAGAUAAAAGAAAAAAGAAAGACAAGAUGUUGUUUUACUUCCGUGAUUCUUGGGAAAAUGCAAAAAUACCAAUUAAGCUGUAAUUUUAACUCACAGCUGUCUUUCAAUGCCAAUGAAAAAGGUAAUAUCAAAACCACUCUGUGGCAUUUAGCUAACUUGAAAUUUUGAAUUGUGCAGAGCACUUGUUUGUACUUCAUAGCUUGUCUGCCUGCCAUAUUUAGUUGAAAAUAAGCUAAAUGUAAAUUGUAUGAAUCCGUGUUUUUCCAAUCUCUUUGCAAACAAAAUUAUUCAGUGCUUCACCAUAUCAACAGAAAGACUUUCAGGACAAAUUUAAUCAUGUUUUUAGCCUUUUGUUCUGGUUUAUAAACAGCUUUUCGAGUCUCUGAAAAUGCAAUAUAUAUGUAUAUGUAAAUAUCACAUCGAGAAACAGAUUGUGUGCAUUGGCUAGGCUAGGCACAAAUUUAAUAUUUAUCUCCUGGCUUCAAUCCAAGAAUUCAUUUAACUUACUCGUGCUGAUGACUAGAUAAGUAUUUAGUGGACUGGGGCCUAGAAAGGGAACGCUUUUUUUAAAUUUCUUCUUUUUUUCCUUUUUUUUUGUCUUUUCCCCAGUCCUAAACUUGCAAUGCUUGCCUGGUUUUUAUAUGUCUGAAAGUUGUGUCAGGAAAUGUAAUUUACCUUUUAAUUUUUUUUCUUUGCUCAGAGGAGCAGGACAAAGCAGUACAAAUAAAAAUGUGAUACAGAAUAUUAAGAUGAAGCUAAAUUAAUUAUGCAAAAUACAAUUCAGCGGCUUAGGAGGCAUUUUUUUUUUUCUUACUGAAUGUAUGGGAACUACUGAGUCACAGACUGAACCACUGAUUGAUCACCUGAGGCAAGGGCUGAGUCAGCCCUGGGAGCACAGGUGAAGGCAAUUCACCUGUUUGACCAGAAGGGGUGGAGCCUAGCUGCACCUCUACUAGAUCUGUUUAAAGGCUGACUGAAGCUGCAGAAGGAUCUCUUUCUGGAGAUUCUCCCUUUGGAGUCUUCUACUGUGAGCCUAGGACACGGCUGAAAUGGGAUAGAGUUUAUUGAUGGGCUUUCCUUCUGGAUUCCAUUGGCUUGAAGAGGUGGGGAUCUGUAAAGGUGAGUUCUGUAUGGGCAUCCUUUCUCCUCUUGGGUAAAAAUGGCUUAGGGAGCCUGCCAUUUUAUUUAACUUUUUGUGUAUAUGGAAAGGAACUAUGUAUGUAUAGAUGAAAUGUAUAAUUCCUCCCCAUUUUUGCAGUCACAGUAGUGGUUUCCAUAGCAACUUGCAUAGAGUUUGGAAGGAGGUGCACAGCCCGUCUUUAGGAGGAAGUUGAAAGGUGAUAUGGCUCAUCAGCUUGAGUGUAGCUGCAAUGAUAUCUGUAAUCUCAGUAUGUCUCUUAAAACAUUACAUACUUUUUUUUCCUGUUAUAGUUAUCUCUACAUCCUGAAACACAGUGUGUGAAGUAGUCUCUGCUCUUCUUAGGCUUUUAAUUCUUGCCAUUUCCCUCUAGUCUGCAGUGCAUGAAGACUUCUCAUCCCCUUCCUCUGCAGUUCAGCCUCAGGGAAGGACCCUGUCAGGACUGGGUCCCAAGUGUCUUGGUGCUCUGUUUACUCUUGCUCUUGAAUAAACUCUGAGGGCUUUCAAUUGGGGCACUACAGACACCAGCAUGUCUAAAUGAAUUGAACACCUGCUGACACGACCGAUCAUAGAGGUUGGGUGAAAAGAAAAGUCUGAGACAGAUUUAAAUUUCUCAGCCAGUUGUGUUGCCUCUGUCAAGCCCUGAUGCUUGAUGCACUUCUCCUGUACCAGCCCUGCACUGGAGCAGGGCCUCCUCUCUGCUGUACAAGACAGUGUUUUCUCCUGCCCCUGGCACAGCACGGCUGGCAGAACUCAUGUAUUGGUGCAGCUCUCUUCCAUCCUCUUCUUUUCCAGGCUCCAUCUCUCCCCACUACUUGCUAUGUUUUGGCAGCACAGUCGCCACUCAGCAGCUUUAUUUCUGGUACUGGAAAAGAACAGGGUUCUCUGUGGAAUAGAGGCAUUCACUGCAAUAUUGCACUGUGGGCUGUUUCAUUUAUCAUCUUGGUAAUUUUUCUUUAAUUAAUGGGGUGAAACUAUCAGAGAUGAUUGCAUUUUACAAGAUUUCAAUUUCCAUUAGUAAUAAACAUUAAAGAUAUGGAGCAGUACACUGUAUGUGUAUGCACAACUAUUUCCUGUACUUACGAUAUUACUGUAUCUUUUUUAUCAGCUUUUUAUUAGAGCUAAAUCCAACAACAGAAAUAAGUAUAAUCUUUUAGAUGAGUUAAUCUUAGGGAAUCUCAUAUUGUUUUCUUUUAAUGCUUUUUUUUUAAUCUUAGACAUGAAAACCUAUCUCUUGUGGUUUAACCAGGCAGGUAGCUCAGUA